rnacentral:rRNA from 1 species
CACGGUAGGGGACGAGCGUUGUCCGGAUUCAUUGGGCGUAAAGCGCGCGUAGGCGGCUCGGAAAGUCGGUCGUGAAAUGCCGGGGCUCAACCCCGGGACCUGCGGUCCGAUACUCUCGAGCUGGAGGCAGGUAGGGGAGGAUCGGAAUUCCUGGUGUAGCGGUGAAAUGCGCAGAUAUCAGGAGGAACACCGAUGGCGAAGGCAGGUCUCUGGGCCAUAACUGACGCUGAGAAGCGAAAGGCAUGGGGAGCGAACAGG